rnacentral:lncRNA from 1 species
GGGCGCAGUGGGAGCAGAGGCGGCGGGCGGCUGCGCCCCCACAAAGGCGCGUCUCUGGCCGAGGCUGGCGGCGGGGCGCCGCGGGCAAAGCUGAGGCUUUGACCUGGGCGCACGCUGGAAACGCCCGCCUCAUCGUCGCUGGAUAUACCCACCACGUUACCCAGGCUGGGGCCAUCUGGGCAGGGACACCAGCCUCGGCGAAGACCUUGGGCGACUUCAAAGCGCAGGCACCUCGAUUCCCCGAAUCUAUGUUGUGUGGCGGGUAUCGGUGUUCCCCUGUUUUAACUAGCCUGUUUGAAGGCGCAGAUCCUUCUUGGGGAAGUCUCACUGAAACCAGGUCUCCCUGCUCUCCCAGGGGCUUCGGUUUUCCCAGUCUGCCUCUGCUUGUGACUCCAGAAAGACAAACUUCCGAUUGGCCAAGAGAAUCCACACUUCUUGGUUUCCACUGGGCCCAAUGUAAAUGCCAUCUCCUCCAGGAAGCUUUUCCAGCAACCAGGGCUAGAGGCGGAAGGACCCUGUCAUCCCAAAGGUAGCAGACCUUCAUCGCCAAGGCUUCAGGGAAGGCUCCCUGGCUGGACAGCGCGCGCGAGGGCUCUGUGUCGCCGGUGUGGGAUGGAGAGGGGGAGACCUAGCCCGGCCUGGCCUCCCCUGGGCCCUCAGCCUCCCGAGCUCCAGAGCUGGCGUGGCGGGCUCCGGCUCCCUCCCGCUGGUUUCUCUAAGCCUGGUUUGCGCAUCUGACCAAUGCGGCAGCGACGCCGGCCGCGGGGCGCGCGGCAGAUAGGUGAGAUCAAGGCGCACACGGGGCUGGAUGCCCGACACACCCGGGCUGCGCGCAAUAAACGUGUGUGUCUUUUCCUGCCUCUCGCGUUUCUCGCCCUCUCUUCCAGCUACCGGGACCUGGCCGGACAGCCGAGGGCCGGGUGGCAUCGGAGGGCGCUUCCGGAGUUCAGGCCGCAGCCUCAGGGGUGUCACGGCGCGGGGCCGCACGCAAUGGAGACCUGCUCGGCUCCGGGGCUUUUCGCCCCCGGCAGGCAGGAAGGGGUUAACGGAGCCCCUCCCCCGCCCGCGCCAGAGUCCCCCGCGCUUUCCUCCCGAGGUCUCAUUAGGGAACCCUCCCCGCUAUUUUCAACAUUUCCUCAAUCAAGGCCCUUUAAAUAGAGCUGCGCAAACAAAUUGGCGGCAAAAGCGUAGAUCUUGUCACGAUUGAGACCAAUCCAAUAUUUCAGCCUUGUUUGCUUUGCAAUUACGGGUAGGCUUGUGGCUGCGAUGCCACCGGGGCAAAUCUGCCGCCGCCCGCUUUCUCUAUGGACCUGGCGGUGGAGGAAAGAUCCUCGGAGCCGCCGCGGGGAGGUGGGGGGGGGGCGUCGCGGCCGGGAACGGGGAGGAGAGAGCGGGCGGGGAGGGGACCCGGGCGGCCGAGGCUUUCCAGCCCCCGGUGCCAGGAGCGCGGAGCCUAGUUAAAGGGCUUCAUCCUGGCCAGCGGCCGGCGUGCCCACAGUAGUGAUACACUGUGCGGUGCUCAUGUGGAGCCCUUGGUGUACCUCUCCCCAGCUUCCUUUCUUCCCUUUUCCACCCAAUGAUGCCCUUUCUCUCCAGUAUUGGUUAGCCAUUCCCGGAUUCUCUCUCUGUCUCGCUCUCUCUGUCUCUCUCUCUCGAUGUUAAACCUGUUAGCACGCUGUUCUGUUUUCUGUGGCUGCUUACUCUUGUUUGACGUUUUGUACAAAGUCACUUCAAAUCGGCUGCAGGAGGAAUAAAACUCCAAGCCCUUGGGCUGGGCUCCCUCGGGUGUGCGGCCGCUCCAGUCCUCCAGUAACCCGCGGGCCACCUUCGCAAGUGGCAGCGCCCGGCGAGUUCGGCCACCACAGGCCAGCCUCGUUGGAGUCGGCAGAACAGUAGUUAACUUGAAUAAGGUCCUAAGUCUUAUAUUUCACAGACAAUUAAAUCUUGGCUGCUGUUUAACAAAAUUGUAAUAUUUACUGUGCUCCAUACCGAGGAGCACUUUUAAAGUCGAAAACAAAUACUACAUUUUAAAAAGAAAAAUAUGAUAAUAAAUCUCUUUUUAUGGAUUCUCUCUGCAUAAGAGGGAAACAACAUGAUUUAACUCCUCGACACCCCCACCUCCUUUCAGGCGCAGCUGAAGUUACACAGUUACCGUCUUUUAACCCACAUUCUCUGUGUCUGGUGGGGGGGGGAGGCACCUGCAUUUGUUACGUUCCAGUUUCCAAGAUUUCACACCCCACCCUGACCCUUGUAACUGAAUGCAACAAGGAUUAUAAUAUAAUUAGGUCUGGGAUGUGAGGCCCAUUUCCAUGUGGAUUCAAAAAACGUGGGCAUGAUGGGCAAUUAAUUUAUAGUUUCAUAUUACUUUAUAAAUGACUACCCAUUUUCUUCUCAUGUCCAGGUGGGACGGUUGAGGCAGAGAAAUAUUUUUAAAAGUCUCUGGGGUAUAUAUUAAAAUAUGCUUCUUUAUUAUUCAAAAAUGAAUAAGGUGUGGACCUACGUUUGUUUGCUGGUGGUUAUAAAAGAAAUGCCUAGCUGUUCUUGCCAAGUAGCAAUCUCUUUUAUGCUUUAUUUAUUUAUUUAUUUAUUGGUUUAUAAUCCCACCUUCGCUCUUCUGGAUUGUCCUCCUGUUGUCAUGUUUUGGUUCUCAAUUUUACUUAAAGAAAACCCCAGAAGUGGUGGUUUCCUAAAAUUGUGUGAUGACAAAGCCACAGAAUAAUAUUUCAGAUCCAUGAGUCAUGCACAACCAUGCGUAUUGCUCAUGCAGUUUCCUAGCCGAUUGCUAUAGUAUUUCUACAAGAAUAGAAAGCAGUAGCUAGAAAGGGUACCAUUUCGUAAGAAUUCUCUCUUCACCCAAAUAAUUAGUCUGACGUAUUAUUCAAUGCAGAAAUUGUAUUACUUUCAUGUGUGUUAAUCUGUUUAGUAUUAAAACUGCUAGAAUGUUUUAACCAUUAACAUGUUUUGCCACACCACUUUCAAAUGCGUGAUCUCAGAUAAUUACGAAGAUUUUGAUGUUAAUCCCAUGUUAAGUGAACAACUAUGAAAAUACCCUGAAAGCAUUAUUAUGCUUAUAUAAAUGCCAGCAAACACAAUUGUACAAAGAACACAGAUUUCUUUUUAUCUGACAUUAUCCUAUAGGGAUAUGCAUUCAUUUCUUUCAAAAUUAGAGCAGUUUUCUAUUACUUUUUAACAGAUUUUUUUCCAACACAGCAUUUUGCCAUGACUAUAAACCACAACAACUUUGUUACUGACAGAUAGAUAUUUUUCUUUCAUUGUUAUUCAUUAGCUUCUUUGCAAACUCACUAAAAUAGAAUAAUAUACAAAAAUAUCAAAAUAAAGAGAAUAACUAUUAGGGUCUACAUAUUUAUUUAGGUAGGCUAAUGUUAUUAAAAUUAAAAACAUGUGCCUGGCAUAUAAAUGUUACUUAAAGAAUUCUUUUUUGGAUGCAGAGUUAUUAUUUAAACCAACUCAGAAUUUUCAAGUACUGAUUUUUCCCUCUAAACAGGCAUUGCAUUGUUUUAAACAGUAGCUCCUGGAACCACCCUUAGUAUUUUAGACUUCCAAACAACAAUUGCAAUUGAAUAAAUACCUUCAGCUGGGAGCACUUCCCUAAUACCUUUGCAGGAAAUAAGAGUCCCUGCUUCUACUGGGUGACAAAGAGGCAGUGCACUUGUGCAAGGGCAGAACUUACCAAAAAAUGGAGUUUUCCUUUAAGAUUGCUAUGGUCCAUCUAAAAAAAAAUAGUGAAGAUGUGAAAUCAGAGAAAAUGAGUAAGUGCUUUUUUCUCGUUACAGUUGUGAAACGAUGGCUUAAGGAGGGAUGCAAAAUAAGAGCCAGGAGGCAUGCAGUAACAUAAAAUCUGAAAAAGAAAGUUUUCUCAAGCAGGCUCUGGCUCUUGGUCUAUAAAUAGGAGAGGGAUGUAUUGGAUCUGCAUAACCCAUUUUCUUUUCUUUUUUCAUUUUUUUUUCAAUUCAGUGACUCCCCCCCCCUUCUUUUCUUUUUCUUUUUUUCUGCACUCAUUGCCAUUCAGGGAACAGAAGUUCCUCGGCCAGGGAUCGAACCCAUGCUAUGGCUGUAACCAGAGCCACAGCAGUGACAUGCCAGAUCCUUAACCUGCCGAGCCACGAGUAAUUUUUAAAAGAGAUUUUUCACUGGGUGAGGAAGCCCUAUCAAGGAAAUAUAUGUGAAUUCUGACAUAUGGAGAAAAACUAGCUACCUUGAUUUUUAAUAUUUGAUUAAAAUAUUAAGCCACUAUACUAUUGUUCUUUCUAAAUGAAGGCAUGUUGUCACAACUGGUGUCAAAAAGCAUUGGUUUCACCCCCCCCAAAUUGUUGUUAAAGUAAUAAAGUUAUAUCCAUGAAAUGAUUUCCAUGAAUCCCAACUUGCUGCAAAAAGGUGAAAAAAACUUUUCUGGAAGAAAGCAGGCAACUUUGUUAUUGGUCUGGGAUAAAUAAAGCAAGAAACUGCCUCUUAUAUUCAUAGUAAUUCAUUCUGCUUUUUCAAACAUUGUUCUUGUUAUCUUGUGCUAUUCACGUAAUGCUGGUGUCAGCAAUAAAAAAA